AAUAUUGCACAAUGGGGGAAACCCUGAUGCAUCGACGCUGCGUGAGCGAAGAAGGACUUCGGGUCGUAAAGCUCUGUCCUAAGGGAAGACAGGGACGGUACCGUAGGUGGUUGCCCCAGCCAACGACGUGCCAGCAGCCGCGGUAAUACGUAGGGGGCGAGCGUUAUCCGGAAUUAUUGGUCGUAAAGGGUACGUAGGAGGCUAUAUAAGUCAGGUGUGAAAUACCAGUGCUUAACACUGGAAUUGCAUUUGAAACUGUGUAGCUUGAAUGCAGGAGAGGAAAGUGGAAUUCCUAGUGUAGCGGUGAAAUGCUUAGAGAUUAGGAGGAACACCAGUGGCGAAGGCGACUUUCUGGACUGUAACUGACGCUGAGGUACGAAAGCGUGGGUAGCGAACA
rnacentral:rRNA from 1 species